rnacentral:tRNA from 1 species
GGGCGAUUAGCUCAGCUGGUUAGAGCGCGACACUGAUAAUGUCGAGGUCACAAGUUCAAGUCUUGUAUCGCCCACCA